GCUCAUAGCUCAGCUGGCUAGAGCGCGGUGCUGAUAAUGCCAAGGUUUCGGGUUCAAUCCCUGUAUGAGACAGCA